UACAGAGGUCUCAAGCGUUGUUCGGAUUCAUUGGGCGUAAAGCGUGUGUAGGCGGGUCCGUAAGUGUCUUGUGAAAUCCCACGGCUCAACCGUGGAACUGCUGGGCAUACUGCGGGUCUUGGGCCAACUAGGGGCAGCCGGAACAAGCGGUGGAGCGGUGAAAUGCGUAGAUAUCGCUUGGAACGCCGAAGGUGAAAACAGGCUGCUGGGGUUGCGCCGACGCUGAGACACGAAAGCCAGGGGAGCAAACGGG
rnacentral:rRNA from 1 species